UGACUAAAUUAACAGUUAAAACUUAGGGUAGAACUCCGGCUGGGCUGUAAAAAGCCAUAAGCCACACUAAUCCCCACCCCUAACACCACACAACUUUGACUCAUGAAAGCUAGGAUACAAACUAAGAUUAGAUACCCUACUAUGCCUAGCCGUAACACACAAUUAAAUCACCAAUUGUUCGCCAAACAACUACGAGCCAUACUUGAAACUUAAAAGACUUGACGGUACUUCAUCACGACCUAGAGGAGCCUGUCUAAUAACCGACAAUCCACGAUUAACCCAACCCCUUCUUGCCCAACAGUCUAUAUACCGCCGUCGCCAGCUUACCUUGUAAAAGAAAUAAAGUGAGCUAAAUAAUACAACAUUAAAACGACAGGUCGAGGUGUAACCUAUGAAGGGGCCAAGAUGGGCUACAUUCUCCCCAGAGAAUACGAAUAACACUAUGAAACUAGUAUUUGAAGGCGGAUUUAGUAGUAAGCUAAGAAUAAAAUACUUAACUGAACAUAACGCAAUGAAGUGCGUACACACCGCCCGUCAUCCCUGCCACCACAAUAUAAACCUUUAUAAACUAACCCAAAAAUCAAUACAGGGCAAGUCGU
rnacentral:rRNA from 1 species